CUGGGUUACAAUCCAGAUGCCAUUACACAUAGAGGCGAGGUUACAGCCGUUUCACACCUGUAUAGGAGCUUCAUCUGACUGUUUCUUGGAAUUCCUGAUGACUGUUUCUCUUAAGAACUCCACUGAUAUAUCAGAUGUGAACACGCAGGACAUCUUGUGAGAACAUAAGAGGUGCCUGGCACGAGUCCAUCAACAAUACCAGGAUGCUGCCAAUGUGCAUUGAAGCAGGGAGGAAAGUAUAAUGAAGUUUAUAGAAUAAAAACAGGAAAAAUACGAGAUCCCGGUAGCAUGAGAGAUAAAAGAAAAAUACCAUUUUAUUUUCAUAGCCGCCCUUUUUGUACUUCGGAUCAGUGCUGUAUGAGAUCAUAAGAACAACACAAUCCUGUUUCCGACAGAGCAGAACUCUUCAGGCUGAGAACAGAGCACCAGGUCCAGCAUGUGGAAGCCACUUCCUUUUAUCUGACAGAGGAAGGAAGAAAAUGUCGGCCCAAUUAAUAAACAACCAGAAGCCGCAGGGACUGCGAGGAGAGAGUCAGAGGCGCCAGGGGCGCAGAGCUCAUGACUCGUCCCCGACAAAGAAGAAUUCAGCUCCGUUUAGCAGGUCAUGGACAGGAAAGCUCGUAAGCUCAAUUAUUACAAUCGACAAUCGCCUGCGCUAAUUUAUCAUGCUAGAAAAAAUAUUUUAUGACACGUAGAAAAAAAUGGUCAGGCUGACAUGUGUACAAUGAGGCUUCUACCUUCUAGCACUAUUUGUACUGUUACUAUCAAAGACAUCAAUUCUUAAGGAGGCGAUGUCAAACACUACUCAUAACCAUGUGAUCCUUCAAAAUAUUUUUUUUCUUUUGUCAAAAAUGUACUAAUGUACAUUUCAUAGGGUACAACAGCUCCUGUCAGCGAAGAAACAAUGCAACAGAGAAACUGUGCCCGACUGUAGUGUUGGGUCUUGCUGUCCAUGGCUAAGACAGGAUGUUUUUUUCAGAGUUUUCUCUGCUCUGGCUUACAUUCCAACAGAAGACCCCCCCCCCCCACAAAAAAAAAAAUGAUGUUCAUAUGAACCAGAAAGUACCCAAACUUGCCAUGAGUCAUGUGGGAACCAAUUCUGUGCACUCAAAAUUCUAUAGAACGUGUACAAACCACACAAUGGGUUAUUUACGGACCAAAGUCUUAAUCAGGGAAACCUGUUGAGGGUACAUUCACACGUACAUAGAUUUAAUGCGCAGGAUUUGAUGCGCAGGAUUUUCUGCUGCACAUUUCAAUGAAAACUAAAUGACUGAGCACAACUUCUAAUCGGCAGUUACAAAUCCUGCGCAUCAAAUCUGCGCAGGAUCCUGAACAUGUGAACGUACCCUGAAGAAGAGUUUGUCCUUUCAAAAUGCGUUGUAGGCUAUAGCUAUAUUAAAGAGACUUGUUUUUUCUACUUCCCUGUCAGGUUAUAUUUUACCUCACAGAGCUUGGGCUGUUAAGGGAUUUCGCCGAUAGGUAGACCAAUCUUUCUGCAUGGAGUCCAUUCAGAAUUGCUGUCACUAAUCAAAGUCUGUCAUACUAUUCCUAAACAACUCUGAUUAGACCCCUAUACUAGAACAUUUAAGUUCUUUACU